GGUACGUAGAGACCACCGCGCGAAGGGCGUUCAGUCCGGGUCGUCCGAGGAUAGCGUUGUAGGCCGAGGGAACACGGACGACCAAGAACCCGAGCCGCACCGUGGCUUCUGCGGGUGCAACGCCCGCGGUCACAGGCAGCUCAACGACACCUUCGGCCGAGAUAGCGUCACCAGUGAAUCCUAUGAGGGGGGUGGAUGUUUUGUGCAACAAUUGUCUGGACAAGCUCAUCUUUUAGAAGGCCUCGUAAAACAAACUAUCAGCUGAGCUUCCACUAUCCACAAGAACACGCCUUACAUCAUAGUUCGCCAUAGUGAGGGAGAUCACCAUGGCGUCAUCGUGGGGGGUCUGAACCCCCUUUACAUCUUCAUCACAAAAAGUGAUUACAUUACC
rnacentral:lncRNA from 1 species